GCGCCCAAUAUUGAGAACACUUCGGAAAACUGUGGUGAGAAGCGGUCUGUAGGGCCGGAGGAACCCGGAAGUGAGCUUCGCAUCAGCAUCAGCACGCUUCGAAGGGAACGAAGUCGGUAGACAAGGCUCCUCCAUCAAAGUUUAGCUCCACAGAGUCAGAGGAAUAUGAAUUGAAUGAUAUAGACAUCUGCAUGAGAUCUUCUGGAGAACUUCUGGAGAAGAUGAUGAAGGGGCAGGAUGUCCUCAACAACACAACAGAAUGGGAAGCCAGAUGUCACUCAAUAUGGUGUUUUUUGGUGCUAAUAGCGAAGAAGCAGGCUAUUAAUUAUGUUAGUAUGCAUACAUAGACUGUUGAUUUGUACAAAAGGUGCAACCGAAUAUGUAGUACAUGUAUAUGCAGAACUAAAAAUAUAAGUAGUAAUUAAGACAUGUAACGUUAGAUAAAUUUUCUAAUGUUCUCAAUACAAAUGUAUCGUACAAUACAAUUGUACAGAAGCAAAUGAAUAAAGAAAGCUCAUAUGUAAAUUUUGCACUUAGAACUGUCCUGGCCUUCUGUAUGCUGUGAGGGAUCUUCACCUGUAUUCACUGGUGGUGGUGGAUCUUCACAUGCCUUCACUGGUGUUGGGGGAUCUUCAUAUGUUACUGAAUAUUUACUGGUGU